rnacentral:rRNA from 1 species
CACGGAGGGUGCGAGCGUUAAUCGGAAUUACUGGGCGUAAAGCGCACGCAGGCGGCUUGUUAAGCUAGAGGUGAAAGCCCCGCGCUCAACGUGGGAACUGCCUUUAGAACUGGCAGGCUAGAGUCUUGGAGAGGGGAGUGGAAUUCCAGGUGUAGCGGUGAAAUGCGUAGAUAUCUGGAGGAACAUCAGUGGCGAAGGCGACUCUGGCAAUACUGACCUGAGGUCGAAAGCGUGGGGAGCAAACAGGAUUAGAUACCCGUAGUCC